UUGACAUGCGUGAGUGUGAUGCAGUUCGAGCGGACAGAUGGGAGCUUGCUCCCUGAUGUUAGCGGCGGACGGGUGAGUAACACGUGGGUAACCUGCCUGUAAGACUGGGAUAACUCCGGGAAACCGGGGCUAAUACCGGAUGGUUGUUUGAACCGCAUGGUUCAAACAUAAAAGGUGGCUUCGGCUACCACUUACAGAUGGACCCGCGGCGCAUUAGCUAGUUGGUGAGGUAACGGCUCACCAAGGCGACGAUGCGUAGCCGACCUGAGAGGGUGAUCGGCCACACUGGGACUGAGACACGGCCCAAACUCAUACGGGAGGCAGCAGUAGGGAAUCUUCCGCAAUGGACGAAAGUCUGACGGAACAACCCCGCGUGAGUGAUGAAGGUUUUCGGAUCGUAAAACUCUGUUGUUAGGGAAGAACAAGUACCGUUCCAAUAGGGCGGUACCUUUACGGUACCUAACCAGAAAGCCACGGCUAACUACGUGCCAGCAGCCGCGGUAAUACGAGUGUGGCAAGCGUUGUCCGGAAUUAUUGGGCGUAAAAGUCUCGCAGGCGGUUUCCUAAUCUUGAUGUGAAAGCCCCCGGUUUAAUUGGGGAGGGUCA
rnacentral:rRNA from 1 species